GAGGCCGGUGCUUGACUGGAGGAGGGCUGGCAGCAGAAGUGCAGCUGACCGGGUUGCGUUUUCGUACGGCUGACUAAAGCGGAUACCGGUGGCGACUCAUUUCUCGUUUUAUUUUUCAACGAUUUGGCGGAGAAGCUCCUCUUGUGAAUGGACUUUGGAUUUCUUGGAGCUGCGCUGCGGGUCCCACAGUGUGGCUUUCGGCCCGUGCUGUGCUGGCGCCUGCACUUCCUCUGGCGGGGCACGGGGUGGCGCUCCCUGGUAAAGCAGCGGCCAGGGGGAGCCGUGAGUGAGGCGCUGCCUCUCCCGCUGAAGCGGGUUCCAAGGCCACCGUGAGGGGGACCAUCCAUCCAGGUAAAACGUGUUCUUUCCUUGUUCCUUUGCGAAUCGAUGGGGAUCAGGCUUCCCCAGGUGGUGAAGUGAGGAACAGGGACCGCGGGGCUCGCCUGACCAGUGGGGUCUCCAUCCUUGUCCGUGCUGACAAAAGACAAGAACAGACAGCGCCUGAAAUCUUCCCGCCUCCGUGAGGGAAGCCUGCGUCUGGGAACGCGCCGCAGGGAAGUGAUCCCUGAGUGAGGGAGGAGGUGCCGGGGCAUCAUUAAUCAGACCUCAAUGCCGGGAAGGUUCUUUGUUUAAAGAAACACUCAUGUUUAAAGAGCACUUGGUGCGGACUUGCUGUGGCCAUCGCCCUCAACAGCUCAUCUUUAGGAGGUGCAGGCUGAAUUCACGCCUCGGUGUCGUCCAUGUCUGCCUGCCGCGCAGAGGAGACAGCGAGAGGCCUUCCCACCGCACGGCUUUUACGGGAAGCUCUUCGCAUUGGCUACAGGGGUGUGGUUUGGUUUAUAGCCACACCAAGUAAUUUUAAUAGAACUCAAUAACUGUGUUGCCUUGCAGGCUCCGAGUGCUACAGGCAGACCCGAGUCCGAGUCUUCCUACGGUUCAUUGUCCCCCCCUGGAUUUCCUAGGGACUCCAGAUACGAUGGCAUCGAUGUCAGUUAACUUGGCACUUCUUAAAAUAGAUCUAUGAUCAAAUCUUAAGUUUUUCCGAAUAAGACUCUGGAGGAAUGCAGGAAGGUCAUUUGAUUACUUUAAAAUAAGAGGAUUUUAUGUUAAAAUAUUGAAAAAGCCAGUCAUAAAACUAAGCUCUGUACCAAUGAAUAUAGUUCGCGAAGCCAGCAGCACAGGCUUAUUAUUAUAAAUAUCAAACACCACCA
rnacentral:lncRNA from 10 species